rnacentral:misc_RNA from 1 species
GAUGAAGAACGCAGCGAAAUGCGAUACGUAAUGUGAAUUGCAGAAUUCAGUGAAUCAUCGAGUCUUUGAACGCACAUUGCGCCCCCUGGUAUUCCGGGGGGCAUGCCUGUCCGAGCGUCAUUGCUGCCCUCAAGCACGGCUUGUGUGUUGGGCCUCCGUCCUCCUCCCGGGGGACGGGCCCGAAAGGCAGCGGCGGCACCGCGUCCGGUCCUCGAGCGUAUGGGGCUUCGUCACCCGCUCUUGUAGGCCCGGCCGGCGCUUGCCGACACAUCAAUCUUUUUUCCAGGUUGACCUCGGAUCAGGUAGUGAUACCCGCUGAACUUAAGCAUAUCAAUAAGCGGAGGA